CAGCAGCCACGGUAACACGUAGGGCGCAAGCGUUAAUCGGAAUUACUGGGCGUAAAGCGUGCGCAGGCGGUCCGCUAAGACAGAUGUGAAAUCCCCGGGCUUAACCUGGGAACUGCAUUUGUGACUGGCGGGCUGGAGUAUGGCAGAGGGGGGUAGAAUUCCACGUGUAGCAGUGAAAUGCGUAGAGAUGUGGAGGAAUACCGAUGGCGAAGGCAGCCCCCUGGGCCAAUACUGACGCUCAUGCACGAAAGCGUGGGGAGCAAACAGGAUUAGAUACCCGAGUAGUCCCUGUCUCUUAUAC
rnacentral:rRNA from 1 species